UGGGCAGAAACUUGUGUGCUAUAGUAAGGGGUUUUGGCUCAAAUUGGGUGAAACCUGAAAUGAGGGACAAUACCUCAUUUUCUUUUAAAAUUAAGGUUCCCGAUGUCAAUAUGAGAAGAAUUAAAGAAAACGGAAUCUUGGAAAGUCACUCAAUUCCAAUUAAAACAACAAUUUCAAUAGUUUUACAAAACACGGCACGCGUGAGUUAUUUUGACCCGAUCGCGAGUAAAUUGAUAAAAGACAUGGAUUUUUGGACCUAGAAUAGUUCACUAUAUAUUAGGAGGUGUCUGUAAGCACACCCAAAAGCAAAAAGCCGGAGUCCUAAAAAAAGUGAAACUGGCUAGAAACUCGUGUGCUAUAGCAAGUGGUUUUGGCUCGAAUUGGGUGAAAUUUGAAAUGAGGGGCAAUACCUCAUUUUCUUUUGAAACUACGGUUUCCGAUGUCAAUAUGAGAAGAAUUAAAGAGAACAGAAUCUUGGAAAAUCACUCAAUACAAAUUAAAACACCAAAUUCAACAGAUUUACAAAUUAAACACGAUACUCGUGAGUUUAUUUAGGCCCGAUAGCGAAUAAAUUGAUAAAAUACACUGAUUUAAAGCUAGAAUGGUUCACUAUAUGUUAGGAGGUGUCUAUAACCACACCCGAACGGAAAAAGACGGAGGCCCAAGAAAAAUGAAACUGGGCAGAAAUUGAAGAAUUUCUUACUUGUGUGCUAUAGUAAGGGGUUUUGGCCCAAAUUGAGUGAAACUUGAAAUGAGGGACAAUAUCUCGUUUUCUUUUGAAACUAAGGUUUCCGAUGUCAAUAUGAGAAGAAUUGAAGAGAACGGAAUCUUGGAAAGUCACUCAAUACCAAUUAAAACACCAAAUUCUAUAGCUUUACAAAACACGACACGCGUGAGUUUAUUUAGGCCCGAUUGCGAGUAAAUUGAUAAAAGACACGCAUUUUUGAAGAUAGAAUGGUUCACUAUAUGUUAGGAGGUGUCUGUAAGCACACCCGAACAGAAAAAACUGGAGGCCCAAAACAAGUGAAACUAGGCUGAAACUCGUGUGUUAUAGCAAAGAGUUUUGGAUCGAAUUGGGUGAAAUUUGAAAUGAGGGGCAAUACCUCAUUUUCUUUGAAUAAUAAGGUUCCCGAUGUCAAUAUGAAAAGAAUUAAUUGAAGUGAAAGGAAUCUUGGAAAGUCACUCGAUACCAAAUAAAACAGUAAUUUCAACAACUUUAUAAAACACGGCACCCGUGAGUCUAUUUAGGCCCGAUCGCGAGUAAAUUUAUAAAAGACACACAUUUUUGAAGCUAAAAUGGUUCACUAUAUGUUAGCAGGUGUCUGUAAGAACACCNNNNNNNNNNNNNNNNNNNNNNNNNNNNNNNNNNNNNNNNNNNNNNNNNNNNNNNNNNNNNNNNNNNNNNNNNNNNNNNNNNNNNNNNNNNNNNNNNNNNNNNNNNNNNNNNNNNNNNNNNNNNNNNNNNNNNNNNNNNNNNNNNNNNNNNNNNNNNNNNNNNNNNNNNNNNNNNNNNNNNNNNNNNNUGCUAUAGCAAGGGGUUUUGGCUCGAAUUGGGUGAAAUUUGAAAUGAGGGGCAAUACCUCAUUUUCUUUCAAUAAUAAGGUUCGCGGUGCCAAUAUGAAAAUAAUUGAAGAGAAUGGAAUCUUGGAAAGUCACUCAAUACCAAUUAAAAUAGCAAAUUCAACAGCUUUCAAGAGACGGGUCAAGAUGGCCUUAGGCGGGCCUAGGAGGGUCAUAGCAUGUAAAGGCGUCCUCUUGGGGGCCCUAAACGGAUCAAGGUGGCCCCUUGGCAUCCCCAUGGCGGAUCAAGUCGGCCCUUUGGCUGCUCUAGGCGGGUCAAGGCGGCCCUACGAGGGUCAAGGUGGCCCUUUGGCGGCCCUAGCCGGGUCAAGACGGCCCCUUGGUGGCCCUAGAUGGGUCAAGGCGCCCUAUUCACGGCCCUAUGAGGGUCAAGACGGCCCAAGAUGGGUCAAGGCUAUCUUAGGAGGGUCAAGGUGGCCCCUUGGCGGGUUAAGGCGGCCAAAUGCGGGUUAAGGCUGGUCAUGCCAGUCUAAGGCCAGCCAAGGCAGCCUAAGGCGGGUCAAGGUGGCCGCUUGGUGGCCCCCUGGCUACUCUAGGCGAUUGGGGGAGGGUCAAGGCGGCCCUAAUUGGGUUAAGGCGACCUUACACAAGUCAAGGCAGCCCUACACGGGCCUUAGAGGGUCAUGGUGACCACUUGGCGAGUCAUGGCUGCCCCAUGGUGACCCUAGGCGAGCCUAGGAGGGCUAGGAAGGUCAAGGCAGGUCUAGUAGGGUCAAGGCAACCCCUGGCGGGUCAAGGUAGCGCCUUAGACGGGUGAACGCUGCCCCUUGGCUACCGUAAUGGGGUCAAAUGCGGCCUCUUAACGGCCCUAAACAGGUAAAGGCGGCCCCUUGGCGGCUUUUGGCGAGUCAAGGUGGCCCUAGGAGGGUCAAGGCGACCAAGGCAGGUUAAGGCUAGUCAUGGCGAUCCAAGGCGGCGCAAGGCGGGUCAAGGCGGUCGCUUGGCGACCCUAGGCAAGUCAAGGCAGUCCCUUGGCUACCCUAGGCGAGCCUAAGAGGGCCUAGAAGGGUCAAGGCGGCCCAAAGCGGGUCAAGGCGGCCCUAGAUGGGCUUAAGAGGGUCAGGGCGUCCCCUUUGUGAGUCAUGGCGGCCCCUUGGUGGCCAUAGACGAGCCUAGGAGGGUCAAGACUGCCCUUGGUGGGUCUAGGAGGGUCAAGGCAGCCCUUUGGUGAGUCAAGGCGGCCCCUUGGCGGCCUUAGACGGGUGAACGCGGCCCCUUGGCGGCCCUAGCGGGGUGAAGGCGGCCUCGUAGCAGCCCUAGGAGGGUCAAGGCGGGUCAAUGCGGGUCAAGCCGGCUCUAGGCGGGUCAAGACGGCCACUUGGCGACCCUAGGCAUGUAAAGGCGGGACAAUGUGAGAUAAGGCAGGUCAAGGUGGCCCUAGGCGGGUCAAGGCAGCCCUAUGGAAUACCUCAUUUUCUUUUAAAAUUAAGGUUCCCGAUGUCAAUAUGAGAAGAAUUGAAGAGAACAGAAUCUUCGAAAGUCACUCAAUUCCAAUUAAAACAAUAAUUUCAAUAGUUUUACGAAACACGGCACUCGUGAGUUAUUUUGACCCGAUCGCGAGUAAAUUGAUAAAAGACAUGGGUUUUUGGAGCAAGAAUGGUUCACUGUAUAUUAGGAGGUGUCUGUAAGAACACCCGAACAGAGAAAGCCGGAAGCCCAAAAAAGUGAAACUGGGCAGAAACUCAUGUGCUAUAGCAAGGGGUUUAAUUGGGUGAAACUUGAAAUGAGAGACAAUACCUCAUUUUCUUUUGAAACUAAGGUUUCCGAUGUCAAUAUGAAAAGAAUUGAAGAGAACAUAAUUUUAAAAAGUCACUCAAUACCAAUUAAAACAGCAAUUUUAACAGCUUUAGAAAACACAUCAGAUGUGAGUUAUUUAGGCCUAAUCGCGAGUAAAUUGAUAAAAGACAUAGAUUUUUGAAGCUAGAAUGGUUCAAUAUAUGUUAGGAGGUGUCUAUAAGCACACCAGAACGGAAAAAGCCGGAGUCCUAAAAAAAGUGAAACUGGCUAGAAACUCGUGUGCUAUAGCAAGUGGUUUUGGCUCGAAUUGGGUGAAAUUUGAAAUGAGGGGCAAUACCUCAUUUUCUUUUGAAACUACGGUUUCCGAUGUCAAUAUGAGAAGAAUUAAAGAGAACAGAAUCUUGGAAAAUCACUCAAUACAAAUUAAAACACCAAAAUUCAACAUAAUUUACAAAACACGUUACUCGUGGGUUUAUUUAGGCCCGAUCGCAAAUAAAUUGAUAAAAAACACGCAUUUUUGAAGUUAGAAUGGUUCACUAUAUGUUAGCAAGUGUCUGUAAGCGCUCCCAAACGGAAAAAGCCUGAGGCAAAAAAAAAGUGAAACUGGGCAGAAACUCGUGUGUUAUAUAGCAAGGGGUUUUGGCUCGAAUUUGGUGAAAUUUGAAAUGAGGUGGAAUACCUCAUUUUUUUUAAUAAUAAGGUUCCCGGUGUCAAUGUGAAAAGAAUUAAAGAGAACAGAAUCUUGGAAAGUCACUCAAUACCAAUUAAAACAGCAAAUUUAACAGCUUUACUAAAUAAAUUGAUAAAAGACACGGAUUUUUAAAGCUAGAAUGGUUCAUUAUAUGUUAAGAGGUGUCUGUAACCACACCCGAACGGAGAAAGACAUAGGCCCAAAAAAAGUGGAACUGGGCAAAAACUCGUGUGCUAUAAGGGUUUUGGCUCGAAUUGGUUGAAACUUGAAAUGAGGGACAAUACCUCAUUUUCUUUUGAAACAAAGGUUUCUCAUGUCAAUAUGAGCAGAAUUGAAAAGAGCGAAAUCUUGGAAAGUCACUCAAUAUCAAUUAAAACACCAAAUUCUACAAUUUUACAAAACACGACACGCGUGAGUUUAUUUAGGCCCGAUCGCGAGUAAAUUUAUAAAAGACACGCAUUAUUGAAGCUAGAAUGGUUCACUAUAUGUUAGGAGGUGUCUGUAAGCACACCCGAACAAAAAAAGCCAGAGGCCCUAAAAAAGUGAAACUGGGCAGAAACUCGUGUAUUAUAGCAAGAGGUUUUGGCUCGAAUUAGGUGAAAUUUGAUAUGAGGGGCAAUACCUCGAUCAUUUUCUUUUAAUAAUAAGGUUUUCGAUGUCAAUACGAAAAGAAUUGAAGAGAACGGAAUUUUGGAAAGUCACUCGAUACCAAUUAAAAUAGUAAUUUCAACAGCUUUACAAAACACGGUACACAUGAGUUUAUUUAGGCUCGAUCGUGAGUAAAUUGAUAGAAGACAUGGAUUUGAGGGUCAAGGGGCCCUAUUGGCGGCCUUAUGAGGGUCAAAGCGGGUCUAGGCGGCCCAAGGCGAGUUAAGGCGGCCCCUAGGCGGGUCUUGGCUGCCCUAGGCGGAUCAAGGCUGCCUUAGGAGGGUUAAGGCGGCCCCUUGGCGGGUUAAGGUGGGUCAUGACGGUCUAAGACGGCCCAAGGUAGGUCAAGGCGUGUAAAGGCGACCUCUUGGUGGCCCUAAGUGGGUCAAGGCGGCCCCUUGGCAUCCCCUAGGUGGAUCAAGGCGGCCAGGUGGGUCAAGGCGACCCUAAGAGGGUCUUAGCGGUCCUAGCCGGGUCAAGGCAGCCCCUUGAUGGCCCUAGAUGGGUCAAGGCGCCCUAUUGGCGACCUUAUGAGGGUCAAGGCGGGUUAAAGCGGCCUCUACGCGGGUCGUGGCCGUCCUAUGCGGGUUAAAGCUGCCUUAGGAGGGUCAAGUCAGCCCCUUGGCGGGUUAAGGCGAGCCAAGGCGGGUCAAGGCGGUCUAAGGCAAGCCAAGUCGGGUCAAGGCGGCCCAAGGCGGGUUAAGGCGGCCCUACAAAGGGCCUAGGAGGGUCUUGGCAACCCCUUGGUAGCCCUAGGCGAACCUUGGAGGGCAUAGAAGGGUCAAGGCAGCCCUUUGCGGGUCAAGGCGACCCCUUGGCGGCCUUAGACGGGUGAACGCGGCCCCUUUGCUGCCCUAACGGGGUCUUAGCGGCCCUAAGAGGGUCAAGGCGAGUUAAGGCAGGCCAAUGUAGGUCAAAGCGGCUCUAGGCAGGUCAAGGGGGCCGCUUGGCGACCCUAGGCAAGUAAAGGCCGGUCAAGACGGGUUAAGCCGGGUCAAGGCGGCCCCUUAGCUACCCUAGGCGGGCCUAGGAGGGUCAAGGCGGGUAAAGGUGGCCCUUAGAGGGUCAUGGCGGCCCCUUGGUGACCCUAGAUGGGUUAAGGCGCCCUAUUGGCGGCCCUAUGAGGGUCAAGCCGGGCCAAGACGGGUGAAGGCGGCCCUUUUGUGGCCCUAGAUGGGUCAAGGUGUCCUAUUGGUGGCCCUAUGAGGGUCAAGACGGCCCCUUGGUGGCCCUAGAUGGGUCAAGGUGCCCUAUUGGCGGCCCUAUGAGGGUUAAGGCAGCCCUUUGGCUACCCUAGGCGAGCCUAGGAGUGUCAAGGCGGCCCUACACUGGUCAAAAUGAGCCAAUGCAGGUCAAGGCGGCUCUAGGCGGGUCAAGGCAACCGGAAAACCUGUCUAAGGCCGCCAAGGGGCUAGCUCCUUCACCCUCUUAGACCUGCCAAGGGGCCGCCUUGACCUUCCUAGGCCCUCCUAAUCUCGCCUAGGGCCACCAAGGGGCCGCCAUGACUCGCCAAGUGCCGAGAAUGCUUGAGCAGGGUGUGAGCCUUGUGCCAUGCCCAAGCGGGGCACGCGCAGGUGUCGAAGACCUGCGCAAGAAUGCAAGGCAAGUCAGUGCAAGGAGGCGCAGCAUCGUGCACAACCAAGGUGCAUAGCACUCAUGCACCCUAGGACCCAUCAAGGUGCGCGGCCAGGUGCACAACCCGGUGUACAACUCUCAUGCACCCUAGGGUCCGGCAAGGUAUAUGGCCAGGGUGUGCAGCACUACGGCACCCCAAGGUCUAGCAAGCGUCCAGCAUGGUGCACAGCAGGGUGCGCAGCACCUAUGCACCUAAGGGUCCAGUAAGGUGCAUUACAAGGGUGCAGCGGAAGGGUGUGAUAUCUCUAGCACCCUAGGGUCCGAUAGGGUGCGAGUCUCGGGUGCACAGGGUUGUAUACACUGAUGACAAAGGCCAUGUGUUGGGAGUAGGCAACACAAUGGCAUGGUGUGGGCUGCAUGGAGGAUGGCUUGCACGAGGGUUCAAGGGCAGGCAAGGUGCAGCAAGCUAGCACUAUGUGCGCGUGCAGCGUGCAUUGGCAUCAUGGCAAGUGGGUGCGCGAGCAUCUGACGACGAGCUUCCUACAUGCAUAGUAUGUGUGACACUUGGGCAACGGUUACCAAGUAGUGGGAGUUAUCCACACCUUACUCAGAAAAGGUAGUUACCAAGUAGUGGGCGGUUAUCCAAGAAGCACUAUUCAUGGUGGUUACCACGAAGUGGGGAGCAUCAUGCGCGGCAGUUACUAAGUAGUGGGUGGUUACUUACACAAGGUGGUUGCCAAAGUAGUGAGAAGUUACCAAUAAGGAUAAGAUCAUGCGGUUACUUGGAGAAGUAGUGGGCUCACUGAUAGGUGCAUUUUAUGCAACGUUCUUAAUGUAUUUCCAACCCUAUUUAGUUAUGUAAUUCCUUUAACAAUAUUCAUUUUAACUUAGUUUGUGUUUUUAGGUUGCAAAUAAAGCCGAGGAGCACAAAAGUGACAAAAGAGGAGAAAUCUUGAAGGAAAAGGAAUUCAUAUGGCGCAAGGAAAUAAAUCAGAAAAUCUGCCAGGAAUUAUCAGUCAACUUCGACAGAGGAUUGUGAUCAGUUCACAAUGAUCCAGGAGAUGAGCCUCAUAUCAAAGGAAAGCUAGAAGAGUCUAGUUGCCAGAACUUUUCGUGGAUCGUUAAUAGCUAUUUUGGAGAAGAAGUUAUGACCGUUUGAGUGACUGAAGGUCAGUCUUCACGAAUUUCUGAUUUGAACCGGAACUUCAAUUUCAAGGCCCAGACCACAACGGCGAGCCCAUGGACGAAAAUUGAAGGUUCUCUAACCCUAAUAGCAGCUGAUCAUACGUUCCCUAUAUGUAUGAGAAGUUGGAGACGUGAAAGGGGUCGCUCUUUGCCGCAGAAAAACAAUGUCUUUCUUCUCCUUCAGAAAUUCCUCUCCAAACACAAACCCUAGUUUUAGGACUUCUCUUGCCGUGCCUUCUCAUUUGUAAUCCUCGGUGUAGUUCCUUAUUUCAAUACUCAAAGUGUAAUCUAAACUUAGACCUCAUGUUUUCUUUUACUAUCUAUUCAAUUAAUUUAGUUUGUUUCCAUCUCUCUUAUUCGUUUGUGUUCAUGAGUUGGAUUUUUUAUUGAGUUUGUUCUUAUGAUCAUGAUAAUUAGAUCUGUACGUAUGGUUGAGUUGUUGGUGUAAUUGAUGAUGCUUUUAAUCAAUAUGUGUCAUUGUUUGUGUUAAGUCUGCAUCGGUAAAGACGAACUAGAAUGGUAAGGAGUCAUAGGGUGCAUGCUAGGAUGUUUUUGAAGUCUGCGUCGGUGAAUUAUAUUCUAACAUGUUCAAGUUCUUCCUCUGAUCUAUUUUAGAUAUGAAGUCCGCAUCGGUACAUAUCUAUGAGAAGUUAGAAAGGUUUUAAGUAGUUAAGUCUGCGUCGGUAAAUC
rnacentral:lncRNA from 1 species